UAGUUUGAUCCUGGCUCAGGAUGAACGCUAGCGGGAGGCCUAACACAUGCAAGUCGAGGGGUAACGGAAGUAGCUUGCUACUAGACGACGACCGGCGCACGGGUGAGUAACGCGUAUGUAAUCUGCCUUGUACAGAGGGAUAGCCCAGAGAAAUUUGGAUUAAUACCUCAUAGUAUUAUCGAAUCGCAUGAUUUGGUAAUUAAAGCUCCGGCGGUACAAGAUGAACAUGCGUGACAUUAGCUAGUUGGUAAGGUAACGGCUUACCAAGGCCACGAUGUCUAGGGGUUCUGAGAGGAUGAUCCCCCACACUGGUACUGAGACACGGACCAGACUCCUACGGGAGGCAGCAGUGAGGAAUAUUGGUCAAUGGACGCAAGUCUGAACCAGCCAUCCCGCGUGAAGGAUGACUGCCCUAUGGGUUGUAAACUUCUUUUAUAUGCAAAUAAACCUGCUUUCGUGAAAGUAGCUGAAGGUAGCAUAUGAAUAAACACCGGCUAACUCCGUGCCAGCAGCCGCGGUAAUACGGAGGGUGUAAGCGUUAUCCGGAUUUA
rnacentral:rRNA from 1 species